rnacentral:snRNA from 1 species
AUACCUACCUGGCAGGCGCCGAUCACCAUGAUCAUGGAGGGUGGUUUUCCCAGCCCGAGGCUUAUCCACUGCACUCCGGAUGUGCUGACCCCUGUGACGUCCCCAAAUGUUGGAAACUCGACUGCAUAAUGUGUGGUAGUGGGGGACUGCAUUCGCGCUCUCCCCUG